CACGUAGGGGGCAAGCGUUGUCCGGAUUUAUUGGGCGUAAAGAGCUCGUAGGCGGUUUCGUAAGUCGGAUGUGAAAACUCCAGGCUCAACUUGGAGACGCCAUUCGAUACUGCGAUGACUUGAGUCCGGUAGGGGAGUGUGGAAUUCCUGGUGUAGCGGUGAAAUGCGCAGAUAUCAGGAGAACACCCGGCGGCGAAGGCGGCACUCUGGGACGGUACUGACGCUGAGACGCGAAAGCGUGGGGAGCGAACAGG
rnacentral:rRNA from 1 species